rnacentral:rRNA from 1 species
GACGUAGGGUGCGAGCGUUGUCCGGAUUUAUUGGGCGUAAAGAGCUCGUAGGCGGCUUGUUGCGUCGACUGUGAAAACCCGCGGCUUAACCGCGGGCUUGCAGUUGAUACGGGCAGGCUAGAGUUCGGUAGGGGAGACUGGAAUACUUGGUGUAGCAGUGAAAUGUGUAGAUAUCAAGUGGAACACCAGUGGCGAAGGCGAGUCCCUGGACAACACCUGACACUGAGGCACGAAAGCUAGGGGAGCAAACAGG